CCCGGAUCAGAAAACAUGCGUCACAAGGAUGCCUAUCAAAGAGACAGAUGGUCUCCAUGGAGACGGACACAAAAUGGUUUCCGUCCUGAUCGUUCUGUGGAAAGAUCAGGAAUAAUCCACCUCCGUCUUCCACUGCGCCUCGUUUUUAUUCUCUCCUGCUUGUUCUGGAGGUCAGCCUGGGCGGGACAGCUCACCCCACACUGAGCCUCAUCCAGCCAUGAAUCACAUCCUCCCUGACUAAUCUGCUCCAUUAAACCUCUAAACUCAUUUUGUGUUGUUGUAACAGAAAGUCAUUUUAAAUCAGUUUUGGUUUGUCAGCUGUUGAGGCAGAAACAUUGUCGUUCAGAAGAGGCAGCAGAAACCUUCAGAGGGGAUGAAUACUUUUCUAAGUCAGAGAUAAGACAGAAAAACACGUUCCAGGGAGCUACUAUCUGUUUAAUGUAUUCUUUCUUUAAAAAAUGAAGAUCUUAGAGGAGGAAAGCAGCAGAGAAUGCCCUGCGCCAUAGAGCACUUCCUGCAUUUGGAGCGUUCUCCAUUCUGCACCAGAGUUCACUUCAACCAAACAGAAACAGGUCUCAGUUGGAUUAUGCAUUUUCACCUCCAAACGAGCCGGACUCUCCAGACAAAUGAACUGCAGUUGGAUUAAAGUGAACUAAACAGAGCAGCAGAUGCAUCAAGUCAUGAAGCUCCAGACCUGUUGGAUGAAAUCCUCCUGUUUCCAUCAUGUCGGAGCCAAACAGCAGAAAGGAACUUGGGAUGAUCUCAGUGACGGAUUGAUAACAGAAACAGGAAACUUACAGACAGGAAGUGGAGCAACAGGAGGAAACAGUCUUCAUGCCCUUCAGAGCCAGCAGGUUAGCAGUGUGUGGAGUUUGGAUUAAUUUGACUUCCUCUGUCGCUGCUGCGGUCCUGAACUUAAAGACGUUCAACCUUCUUCCAUUAACAGACGGCCCGGUCUCCAUCAGCUGGUCUGCUGCCAUUAUCCUCCACCAGCAGACAUGGCCUCACACACACAUGGACAGGAAAAGUUGUUGGGAAACUUAUCUUGCAUAGUUUGCUGAGUUAGAGGCAGAAAUGUUGGGUCGGAUCGAACGCAGCCUGCUGAAAUAUCCUGACAGAACCUGCAGAAAGUCUGAGGAAGUCAUGAGACCCAACAGGCUGACCUGAGCUCUGCUCAACAACUUUAACAAACUGAAGAAGAAAACUCUCAGACCUGAGGAGCUUCAUCUUCAGCAGUAAAACAAAAACAAAAAACGUCGUAACAACCUGGUUACUUAACUGUGACCCACUAACCAACAUUUUUAUUUUGUAAUUUUUGUCGAUGUUAAAUUUAAAUUUAUUUUAUUUACAUUUUAAACUAUUUCUUUCACCAGAUUGUAAUUUAUUCUGCAUUAGAUUUUCCAUCAGGCUUUUUCCUUUUGUUUCUGAAUCUUUUCAGUCGAUCUUCUUCUUGUUCUUUGGUGUUUAUUAACAAAAUGAUCACCAGACUGGCCAGAAUGUCCCUCCAGUGUGGAUCCUGUUAUCUGUGUGUCACUUUAAAAUAACAAUAUCCUAUUUGAUAUCUUUUACUUUUGGAGUUAUUUCUGAAUAAAGUUUUACUUUAAUUCUAUUUAAAUUCUUCUAUUUAACUGUCGACAGUGUAACUUUACAUGUUUUAUCAUCUCAUCUGAUCCAUAUUAUUCACUCUGAAAACUAAAUGUGCUCUUUAACCCAGUUUAACCAAAUCUAAAAGACACAACCGUCUCUUCUCUCCUCGUCUUUCCUGCUCUCGUUUCUCCUUUUUCUUUUCUUCUCCUCCAUUUUCUGUUUUCCUAAAAUGAAAAACUAAACCCACUGGUGAGUUUCUUCAGCCGCCUUUCAGUCUUAUCUGCCGUUUUGUUCCCAGUGACACCAUAAUGAACUGGUAUCCAUAAAAAAUGAAUCAUUAUUCCAUCAUUUUUAUCCUGUUUUGUUGAAUUUCUAUGAAG